UGAACGCUAGCGACAGGCCUAACACAUGCAAGUCAGGGGCAGCACAAGGAGCAAUCUGAGGUGGCGACCGGCGCACGGGUGAGUAACACGUAUGCAACCUGCCUGUAAGCGGGGAAUAACCCGUUGAAAGACGGACUAAUACCGCAUAAUACUAAAUUACUGCAUGGUAAUUUAUUUAAACAUUUAUGGCUUACAGAUGGGCAUGCGCAUGAUUAGCUAGUUGGAGAGGUAACGGCUCCCCAAGGCAACGAUCAUUAGGGGUCUGAGAGGAAGGUCCCCCACACUGGUACUGAGACACGGACCAGACUCCUACGGGAGGCAGCAGUGAGGAAUAUUGGUCAAUGGACGAGAGUCUGAACCAGCCAAGUCGCGUGCAGGAAGAAUGUCCCUAUGGAUUGUAAACUGCUUUUGCAGGGGAAUAAAGUGCAUCACGUGUGAUGUUUUGUAUGUACUCUGCGAAUAAGGAUCGGCUAACUCCGUGCCAGCCGCCGC
rnacentral:rRNA from 1 species